GCACUUAGCUGUGGCACCAAACGUUAGCCAAGGCGCCGGGCUGGCCUCUCCAACCCAAGUCUCCCCCUGGAGCCAGGGGUGCAUGGUACGUACUCUGAGAGCCUUUUUUUUCUUCUUGUUUUGGGGAUCGAGGAAACCCAGCUGAUAUGGCUGGAGGAGGCCCCAUCUUCAGGAAGAUAUUUGACCAGCUCUUUGGUGUUUGGUCUUAACAGAGACAAGAUUUUGUGAAAACCAUAUGGGGACUUUAACUGUGUCUUCCUACAGGAUUUCACAGGGUUAUUCUCUGAAUUCUUCUAAGGUCUGUAAUUGCAGGAGAAACUAACUCCUCUGCCAGUUGUAGCUCAGAAUGAAGUGAGAGAACAGACAGAGACUCUCAAUUCUAUUAGCGGUCUCUCUCCCAUUGGGGCUGGGCAGCCUCUUGGUUGGAUUUUACCUUGUUCAUAAUUCUGGAGUAAGUCUCAGCACAGGACAAUAAUUUCACUCAACUUAUUUUCCGCACGUAGUUCAAAAUCGUUUCCUCCAGGAAGUCUUUCCUGGCUUACUCUUUCCAUUGGAUUACUUCUUACUACUGUAGCCAUUGUUUAGAAUGUUUAUUGGAUGGAUUUGUAUGUUGCACUGUGCUUUUAAGUCAGUGGGUGGGUGCAUGUGAGUGUAGAAUGUGCACUUCUUGGCUGCUUCUUAGCUUCCAGGGGUUAUUCACACAUAUACACACACACAUAAGCACACACACUAUCCUUGUGUGUGUAUGUUUGUAUAUUGUGUCUAUUUCUGUGCAUAUAUGUAUAUGUAGCUGUGUGUACUGUAUAUUUACAUAUGUUUCAUAUACAAUGAUUUAUUAUGUACCAAACAUUGGACCAAAUGCCUUACAAUACAAUGAAGUAGGUUCUCUUAUUUUCACCUACAUUUUACAUGUAAGAAAACUGCAGUGCAGAGAGAGAAGUAAUUUGUCCAGUGUCACUCAGCCAAGCUAUGGGUGAGGCCAGGCUUUAUCCCUGAUGGUCUGAUCUUGCUCUUGAUACCAGCCUCUGAAAAUUACCCAGAUGUGUCACAUGCCUCAGGGAGGACCCUGUUUUCAACUGAGACCAUUAACGCAUUUAUGGCUAACACAAGGACAUUGAUUGCCUGCCACAUGCAAGAUUGGGUCCAGGUGCUGAAGAAACACAGAUGUGCUGCAUCCUUGACUUUAAGGAGCAUCCCUGGGUUGGAGGGAUUCUCUGCAGGCUGCUGUGGUGGAGGGAAGAUUUGCCCAACUUACUCUUGGCGCUGGACCCCCUGAGCCAUCUUCACACACCCAGGAAGACGGGUCUGAAGAAGCAAGGACUGGCAAGUCUGAUCCCCCACUCUGAUUCUCAUUGCUGAAUGUCUGGGUCUUCCUUGUGUACCUGCUGGGGUGGGAGACUGCUCGCAGCAUACCUGGCCUAUGACAUGCCUAGCUCUCUGGGGUGGAUCUUGGACAGGAAGACUGCUUCUGCCAGAGUAAAGAAUAUGACGGAGCUCCUCAUCCGAUGGAGCCUCUGGGAAGAGGCGAAGAGCCAGCUGGAAGCCUGGUGGGCCUCCGCUGCCAGCAGGACAGAUGCAUCAAGUCAGGUUUAUGGGAGAAGUCUUCCCAGACCACUAUGUCCAAACUUCUGUCCAUCCUGCUAUAACCUCUCCAGUUAGAUGGAUGAAAACCAGACCAGUCAGCCAUGGACCAGAGCUGCAAAGAUAAGAACCCAAAGAAGAAACAAAUGGUGUAGCAUUAAGUAUUUCUUUCCACUUGAGCAGAAAAAUCGGAGACUAAGGGAACUGGAGGAGUGUGGCCUUUGAAUGAGACUUGAGGUGGUGAGACAGCAAGUGAACGUGGGGAUACUUGCUCAGAGCUUUGCUAGAAUACCUCAUGGUUUACUGGACCUAGGACCUUCUUGAUAUAGAAAUGACCAUAAAAAGAAAGCAGACAGAUUCCCAUGAAGAAAAAGUGACCUCUCCUCUGAAUUCCAUGCUUGGAAAAGUACUUAUUUAAAGGAAGGAAAAAAGUCUCCAAAGCAAAACCUGGCUUGUUUAGAUAACUUGGUCUAGGAACAUGGCGGAAGCUGAACCCAAGAACAUGCCUGCACAGUGCAACUUCUGGGUGGGAGUCAGUUGUCUUUUCUGAGUUCCCUGGACCUGAGAGUGUGACACUGAGACCAGGGGUGUGGAGAAAUCUAUCUCAUAUUUAUGACAUGUGGUGGGAUCUUUACUGAGCAUUUCAACCCAUCCUGUAGUAAAGAGUGCUGAAUCAUGGUGGGUCACCCUUCUAGACUAGAGACAGCCUGGGUGGGUUCACUGGAACCAGCCAAAAUGGCCACAGGACCAGCUUGAGUCUCCACUACAAAGGGCAGGUGAGGGGAGCAGGAGGUAGAACGUUCACAGGACAGGACGAUCAGGAGCAGAGAGUUGCUCUAAGAUAUGAGCACCAGAUGGGGAAAUUUAACAGAGUGGACUGUAGAGUCACUUGGAAGGAAAAAUGGAAGAGGAUUUUAUAUUACAGCUGCUGUCAAUGGUUCUAACCUUGUAGAAAUCUAUAGGUAAAAAUAUUGUGAAAUUACAUAUGCCCUUUGUUUUCACUUAGUUUUUAAUUUCGCUUACUCUAAUUACUAGCUUUUCAAUAUAGGUUUAAAAAG
rnacentral:lncRNA from 1 species